rnacentral:rRNA from 1 species
AACGAACGCUGGCGGCAUGCCUAACACAUGCAAGUCGAACGAGAUCUUCGGGUCUAGUGGCGCACGGGUGCGUAACGCGCGGGAAUCUGCCCUUUGGUUCGGAAUAACAGUUGGAAACGACUGCUAAUACCGGAUGAUGACGAAAGUCCAAAGAUUUAUCGCCAGAGGAUGAGCCCGCGUAGGAUUAGCUAGUUGGUGUGGUAAAGGCGCACCAAGGCGACGAUCCUUAGCUGGUCUGAGAGGAUGAUCAGCCACACUGGGACUGAGACACGGCCCAGACUCUUACGGGAGGCAGCAGUGGGGAAUAUUGGACAAUGGGCGAAAGCCUGAUCCAGCAAUGCCGCGUGAGUGAUGAAGGCCUUAGGGUUGUAAAGCUCUUUUACCCGGGAUGAUAAUAACAGUACCGGGAGAAUAAGCUCCGGCUAACUCCGUGCCAGCCGCCGCGGUAA